rnacentral:rRNA from 1 species
CCCAGACUCCUACGGGAGGCAGCAGUGGGGGAUAUUGCACAAUGGGGGGAACCCUGAUGCAGCGACGCCGCGUGGGUGAAGAAGCGCCUCGGCGCGUAAAGCCCUGUCAGCAGGGAAGAAAAUGACGGUACCUGAAGAAGAAGUCCCGGCUAACUACGUGCCAGCAGCCGCGGUAAUACGUAGGGGGCAAGCGUUAUCCGGAAUUACUGGGUGUAAAGGGAGCGUAGACGGUGAUGCAAGUCUGGAGUGAAAGGCGGGGGCCCAACCCCCGGGCUGCUCUGGAAACUGUAUGACUUGAGUGCAGGAGAGGUAAGCGGAAUUCCUAGUGUAGCGGUGAAAUGCGUAGAUAUCAGGAGGAACACCGGUGGCGAAGGCGGCCUGCUGGACUGCAACUGACGUUGAGGCCCGAAAGCGUGGGGAGCAAACAGGAUUAGAUACCCCUGUACA